rnacentral:rRNA from 1 species
GAUGAACGCUGGCGGCGUGCCUAAUACAUGCAAGUCGAGCGAACAGACGAGGAGCUUGCUCCUCUGACGUUAGCGGCGGACGGGUGAGUAACACGUGGAUAACCUACCUAUAAGACUGGGAUAACUUCGGGAAACCGGAGCUAAUACCGGAUAAUAUAUUGAACCGCAUGGUUCAAUAGUGAAAGACGGUUUUGCUGUCACUUAUAGAUGGAUCCGCGCCGCAUUAGCUAGUUGGUAAGGUAACGGCUUACCAAGGCAACGAUGCGUAGCCGACCUGAGAGGGUGAUCGGCCACACGGGAACUGAGACACGGUCCAGACUCCUACGGGAGGAAGCAGUAGGGAAUCUUCCGCAAUGGGCGAAAGCCGGACGGAGCAACGCCGCGGGAGUGAUGAAGGUCUUCGGAUCGUAAAACUCUGUUAUUAGGGAAGAACAAAUGUGUAAGUAACUAUGCACGUCUUGACGGUACCUAAUCAGAAAGCCACGGCUAACUACGUG